AUUGAACGCUAGCGGGAUGCUUUACACAUGCAAGUCGGACGAGUGGCGGACGGGUGAGGAAUAUAUCGGAACGUGCCCAGUAGCGGCGGAUAACUACUCGAAAGAGUGGCUAAUACGUCAUAAUAUUGGAGCGCCCGAUAUCGGAUUAGCUAGUUGGUGGGGUAAAUGCUCACCAAGGCAACGAUCCGUAGCUGGUUUGAGAGGACGACCUGGCCAACUGGGACUGAGAAACGGCCCAGAAGCGUACGGGAGGCGGCAGGGGGGAAUGUGGGACAAUGGGGGAAGCCCUGAACCAGCCAUCCCGCGUGUAUGAGAAGGCCUUAGGGUAGUAAAGUACGUUUGACAGAGAGGCGGUCUAUUUAGAAUCAGCACCGGCUAACUACGUGCCAGCAGCCGCGGUAAUAC
rnacentral:rRNA from 1 species